rnacentral:rRNA from 1 species
UGGAUCCAGACUUUGAUUAUGGCUCAGGAUGAACGCUAGCUACAGGCCUAACACAUGCAAGUCGAGGGGAAACGGCAGCUUAGCUUGCUAAGCUGGACGUCGACCGGCGCACGGGUGAGUAACGCGUAUCCAACCUGCCCCACGGUGAGGGAUAACCCGCGGAAACGCGGCCUAAUACCUCAUGGCCUCCGAGUUUGCCAUCAACCUUGGAGUAAAGAUUCAUAGCCGUGGGAUGGGGAUGCGUCUGAUUAGCUUGUUGGCGGGGCAACGGCCCACCAAGGCAACGAUCAGUAGGGGUUCUGAGAGGAAAGCCCCCCACAUUGGAACUGAGACACGGUCCAAACUCCUACGGGAGGCAGCAGUGAGGAAUAUUGGUCGAUGGGCGAGAGCCUGAACCAGCCAAGUAGCGUGCAGGACGACGGCCCUAUGGGUUGUAAACUGCUUUUAUGCGGGGAUAAAGCGGGCGACGUGUCGCCCUUUGCAGGUACCGCAUGAAUAAGGACCGGCUAAUUCCGUGCCAGCAGCCGCGGUAAUACGGAAGGUCCGGGCGUUAUCCGGAUUUAUUGGGUUUAAAGGGAGCGCAGGCCGGGUAUUAAGCGUGUUGUGAAAUGUAGGCGCCCAACGUCUGCACCGCAGCGCGAACUGGUGCCCUUGAGUACGCACGACGUUGGCGGAAUUCGCCGUGUAGCGGUGAAAUGCUUAGAUAUGGCGAAGAACUCCGAUUGCGAAGGCAGCUGACGGGAGCGCUACUGACGCUCAUGCUCGAAAGCGCGGGUAUCGAACAGGAUUAGAUACCCUGGUAGUCCGCGCGGUAAACGAUGGAUGCCCGCUAUUUGCGCAUUAGCGCAAGUGGCCAAGUGAAAACGUUAAGCAUCCCACCUGGGGAGUACGCCGGCAACGGUGCAACUCAAAUGAAUUGACGGA